rnacentral:tRNA from 1 species
GGGGGCGUGGUGGAAUGGUAUACACAAGGGACUUAAAAUCCCUCGCCGGAAAUGGCUUACGGGUUCGAGUCCCGUCGCCCCUACCA